rnacentral:rRNA from 1 species
UUUUUUAGAGAUGAGUGGCGAACGGGUGAGUAAUACAUAGGUAACCUGCCCCUGUGCGGGGGAUAACAGGAGGAAACUCCUGCUAAUACCGCAUAGCCAUGAGCACCGCAUGGAGCUCAUGCCAAAUAUCCUUUAUGGGAUAGCGCAGGGAUGGACCUAUGGCGCAUUAGCUGGUUGGCGGGGCAACGGCCCACCAAGGCAACGAUGCGUGGCCGGCCUGAGAGGGCGGACGGCCACAUUGGGACUGAGACACGGCCCAGACUCCUACGGGAGGCAGCAGUAGGGAAUUUUCGGCAAUGGGGGAAACCCUGACCGAGCAACGCCGCGUGAACGAAGAAGGCCUUCGGGUCGUAAAGCUCUGUUGUAAAGGAAGAACGGCGCAUACAGGAAAUGGUAUGCGAGUGACGGUACUUUACCAGAAAGCCACGGCUAACUACGUGCCAGCAGCCGCGGUAAUACGUAGGUGGCGAGCGUUAUCCGGAAUCAUUGGGCGUAAAGAGGGAGCAGGCGGCCGCAAGGGUCUGUGGUGAAAGCCCGAAGCUAAACUUCGGUAAGCCAUGGAAACCGGGCGGCUAGAGUGCGGAAGAGGAUCGUGGAAUUCCAUGUGUAGCGGUGAAAUGCGUAGAUAUAUGGAGGAACACCAGUGGCGAAGGCGACGGUCUGGGCCGCAACUGACGCUCAUUCCCGAAAGCGUGGGGAGCAAAUAGGAUUAGAUACCCUAGUAGUCCACGCCGUAAACGAUGGUCACUAAGUGUCGGGGGUCAAACCCCGGUGCUGCAGUCAACGAAAGAAGUGACCCGCCUGAGUAGUACGUUCGCAAGAA